rnacentral:lncRNA from 1 species
GUGGAACUAGGGCACAGAAAGUUUGCAGUGGGCAUGGAAGAAAAAAACACAUGAAAGACUCUGAAAAAGCAAGGACAGGGAGUAACAGAGACACAUUACAGGAUAGGCAUCAACAAUGGAAAUGAGCAGAACUCGGCUUUGCACAGAGCUCUUGAGACAUCAACAAAUUGACAAAAACAAGGAUCUCAUCCAUAAGACCACGCUACAUUUGGUCAUCACAUCUCCUCAGACUUCUCUACCCUGGAACAAUUCUCAGACUUUCCUUGUUUGUAAUGGCCUUGGCAGUUGUGAGGAGUACUGGUCAGAAAAUCCAGAGUCCUCAGUCUUUG